rnacentral:rRNA from 1 species
CGAACGCUGGCGGCGUGCCUAACACAUGCAAGUCGAACGAGAAAGCACCUUCGGGUGUGAGUACAGUGGCGCACGGGUGAGUAACACGUGGGUAAUCUACCCUUGGGUCUGGGAUAACACUUCGAAAGGGGUGCUAAUACCGGCAAAGGAGACCACGGCCUGUUAGCAGGCAGUGGCUAAAGGUGGCCUCUCCAUGGAAGCUAUCGCCCGAGGAUGAGUCCGCGCCCCAUCAGCUUGUUGGUAGGGUAACGGCCUACCAAGGCUUAGACGGGUAGCUGGUCUGAGAGGAUGGUCAGCCACACUGGAACUGAGACACGGUCCAGACUCCUACGGGAGGCAGCAGUGGGGAAUAUUGCGCAAUGGGCGAAAGCCUGACGCAGCGACGCCGCGUGAGCGAUGAAGGCCCUCGGGUCGUAAAGCUCUGUAGGAAAGGAACGAACAAGUUUGGGGAACAAUACCCCCAGGCCCUGACGGUACCUUUCCAGAAAGCACCGGCUAACUCC